UCAGGUACUCUGGUAUAAGAGAGCCCCUGGUAGGAGAUGAUCGAUAAAUUCGAAACAGCACAGCGGAACUGACAAGUAGUCAUUGUGCUUUCACGGAACUCAGCGACUCAGCGAACCAGAUCAAUCACCAAUCAAAAUGCCGGGACCAGCUUGCGACAAGUGCUCUGACAAAUGCAAGGACUGCAAAUGCGGCAGUUCGUGCAAGUGCUGCGACUCCGGCUGCGGAGAUCAAUGCGCUUGCAAAUCCGGAGGACAGUGUGCUUGCAAGCCCUGUAAGUGCUAAAUUGAAAAGAUGGCGCUACUAAAUUCGAUCUAAUGGGAUGGAGGUUGCGACGAUAAAUCAGCAGUCAAGAUCUUAGAUGCUAUUAUCUAUACAUCAGACUCUUUUUUCUAUUUACUGCCACUAUCAGCAGACAACCAAUGGAACUCGACGCCACAUACUGUCGUCGUACUAUAUAACGUUAUAGCGGCAUGCUACGUAUUUAAUAAAAAUGACGAAUAUCACUUCCGCAUCUAUCGCAUCCCAUCAUAUUCGUGUAUAUGAAAUUUGACUGAAUCAUGCA